UUUAACAACGGAUCUCUUGGUUCUCGCAUCGAUGAAGAACGUAGCAAAGUGCGAUAACUAGUGUGAAUUGCAUAUUCAGUGAAUCAUCGAGUCUUUGAACGCAUCUUGCGCUCAAUGGUAUUCCAUUGAGCACGCCUGUUUCAGUAUCAACAAC
rnacentral:rRNA from 1 species